rnacentral:misc_RNA from 1 species
AAUUGUUACUUUAAAGAAAGAAAACUCCCAAUUCCAAUCCUCUUCAUGUGCAUACAAAUUGGUAGCCCAUCCUGCAAUACUUUUUGUUCAUUAUUUUUUUCUAAAAGAAAAAAGAAACUAAAACCAAUAGUCACUACUACAGUGAUAUUCCUUUGACAAUAAUCCAUGCAGACCAAUUGACGUGAAUAUAUCAUGCUAUGCAAAUAUUGUUACUUCAUCA